GGAAUUUACAGUGGCAUAUUUUCUUUAUAACUGAGAUUUCAGCAGAUGUGGUGGGCAGCAGACAACAGUCUUUGUGACUCUUCCCUGUGGAUUUUCCCAUCAGCCAUCUCUUCAACCUGUUCAUCAUGCUCAGAAGUUUCUGAGGUUAUGACUGAAAAUGGAAUCUGGAAUACAAAGAAUGACAGCAAUAAGAAACAGAAAAAUUUUGAAAAAUUUAGAGGGUCUAACAUCCUGGACUUCACAAGAAGGAUGAAACACACUGACAGGGGGACCAAAGGAAUUUAUAGAAUGACCUGAUGCCGAAACAGUCUUUUCCUUCAUGGAAUAUGCACCUACGACAUGACAAUAUUCCAGGGCUAUAUACAAAAUCAGUCUUUUAAUUUUUUUUCAUAUGUUUGUAAAGUAUUACUAAAAAAAUCACUAAAAAAACCCGUUGUGAGCAAGUGCAACCUAUUCACAUUGCAUAUACUGCAAAUACUGAGAGAUGUAUGCAGUUGGUUACCUCUUAUUUUGAUGGUGAAAACUAAAAUUGGUUUCAGCAUAAUUGGCAUUAAAAUUGAUGUCCCAAAAUACACUUAUUUUCAGGUAGUUGGAAAAAAUAUGCUUAAACACUGUCCAAACAGUAAGGCCAGGGAUAUUCAAAGUGCCCAUUGUUGGCCUAGUUUUUGAAGCAGAUGAGAAUAGAAUCAGGCUUUUGAAAAUAAAUAUACUAGAAAGGAGAUUUCUUUUUUUUUUUUAAUGUUAGAUAUUUAAAGAGAAUAAAAGAGCCUACAGAUUGCUUUCCCCUAUUUUUGGCAUGAUCCAUUUACAGGCCAAUGCGAAGCAAACAAGAUAGUUACGUCAGAUAACAAAAACAGGCUCCAAGAGUAGAAGUGACUAUAGGUGCUCUCCUUUCAUUAAAAAAAGCUCUUUCUCAUAUAAAUCUAUUAGCAUCACUUUAAUUCAUGCAGUUAAUUUUUCUUUCCAGUUCAGAGGCCAAUCCCAAGAGGAAAAAAAUGUCCUCAGCUCAACCCCCUAUAUGUGGCAGGCAUUUAGCAGGUCUUGAUCUCAAAGUGCUGAUGUAAAUGCUUAAGAUUAAUAUGUGGUUAUGUGGUUUUCUGAAUUAGAAUCUCUGUCAGGUUGCUUAUUUAGCUACAGUUUGGAUAUUAAGAAAAUCUUCCCAUGUUGGCUGACCUAAUAUGGGAAGUGGAAUUAUUUUGAAUAUUCCUUUUGUUUUAUACAUUGUGGGUAACUUAUAUAGGAUAUAUAAAUAUUUGUAUGAGAGACAUAAAUUAGAUAAUAAACAUUUCCUGCUUUAGUUCCAAAAUUUUUUUCUUUAUAUUCAUUGUGAUAACAUAUGACUGUGACUGAGUAAUUUCUAUAUACAGUGAUAUAAAAAUGCUGAAAAACUCGUAUUUGUGAGUAGAUAUGCAAAGGAAAGUUCUCAUAAGGUAUACUUGAAACUAACAAAUGCUGGUAUAAAUUCAAGUUCUUGGCAUGUAUACCACCCCAUGCUAAUGUUGCUGUGUGUCGCUCUAGCAUAAAAGCAGGCAAUGCUCAAGUGUUUCAAGUACUAAAUAUCUUGGUACCUCCAGUAUAGCUGGCUUAUAGGUGGAUAAAUGCACAGCUUGAACACAAAUAAGCAAGGUGAAGGAGCUAAUAUUAAAUAUCAGAUUUCCAGGAUGACCAGUUGCACCUGACAAACUGCAAAUGUUCUCUGCUGGUAUCUUCAGCUUAAAUCCUAAGAAUAGGAAAAUUUAAAGCCCAGUAGGACACAGUGUAGCAUAAAGAUGCCAGAGCUAGCUUUAAAUGAAUUAUUUUGGGUACUGGCAACAGUCAAGCUGUGAUAGCAGAGAGCUAACUCUGCGUAAGAAGUUUGUUCUGCUGCAUGGGCAAGUUUAACAGCCUGUCCUGCACUCCAUUCUAUUAUUGUGAGAUGUCUGCAACGCAGUAUUUUGCAUAGCACCUCUCAUGCAAAAUGUAUCCAACAGAGUUGGAGACACGUGGCAAAAAGCAGUUAGAUAGGCUAGAGCUACACUGCACUAUAAUAUGCACAAAUUAUGCUAACAAUAUUUAUGUUACCGAUUUGCCCUUACUCAGAACUUUCCCAGGUGAAAUGUGCCCAGUCUUGAGAUGCAUCCUUUCUUUCUGCAGAGAGAAAACAUUCACAUGAAAUGAAAGAAAUUAGUUAUUUCUAAAGGAAGGCUACUUUACUAUUUAUAAUGGGAAAUGUAAGAAAAUGAAUAGUAAGUCUCCUAACACCUACAAUUAUUGCAAGACUCAAAUGAAAUGAACAAAUUCAGGACUACUGCUGCUGCUACAAAAGAAAAACAAAAACCCAAAAAAC